rnacentral:rRNA from 1 species
AUUGAACGCUGGCGGCAUGCCUUACACAUGCAAGUCGAACGGCAGCACGGGAGCAAUCCUGGUGGCGAGUGGCGAACGGGUGAGUAAUAUAUCGGAACGUGCCCAGUCGUGGGGAUAACGUAGCGAAAGCUACGCUAAUACCGCAUACGAUCUAUGGAUGAAAGCGGGGGAUCGCAAGACCUCGCGCGAUUGGAGCGGCCGAUAUCAGAUUAGGUAGUUGGUGAGGUAAAGGCUCACCAAGCCGACGAUCUGUAGCUGGUCUGAGAGGACGACCAGCCACACUGGGACUGAGACACGGCCCAGACUCCUACGGGAGGCAGCAGUGGGGAAUUUUGGACAAUGGGCGCAAGCCUGAUCCAGCAAUGCCGCGUGCAGGAUGACGGUCCUAUGGAUUGUAAACUGCUUUUGUACGAGAAGAACAUCCCGACGUGUGGGAGCUUGACGGUACUGUAGGAUAAGGAUCGGCUAACU